UACAGAGGUCCCAAGCGUUGUUCGGAUUCACUGGGCGUAAAGGGCUCGUAGGCGGCCAACUAAGUCAGACGUGAAAUCCCUCGGCUUAACCGGGGAACUGCGUCUGAUACUGGAUGGCUAGAGGUUGGGAGAGGGAUGCGGAAUUCCAGGUGUAGCGGUGAAAUGCGUAGAUAUCUGGAGGAACACCGGUGGCGAAGGCGGCAUCCUGGACCAAUUCUGACGCUGAGGAGCGAAAGCCAGGGGAGCAAACGGG
rnacentral:rRNA from 1 species